rnacentral:rRNA from 1 species
UAAGGAAUAUUGGUCAAUGGACGCAAGUCUGAACCAGCCAUGCCGCGUGAAGGAUGAAGGUCCUCUGGAUUGUAAACUUCUUUUAUCUGGGACGAAAACGGGAUUUUUAUCUCAAUUGACGGUACCAGAGGAAUAAGCACCGGCUAACUCCGUGCCAGCAGCCGCGGUAAUACGGAGGGUGCGAGCGUUAUCCGGAUUUACCGGGUUUAAAGGGUGCGUAGGUGGGCUUAUAAGUCAGUGGUGAAAUCUCCGGGCUUAACUUGGAAACUGCCGUUGAUACUAUAGGUCUUGAAUUAUCUGGAGGUAAGCGGAAUAUGUCAUGUAGCGGUGAAAUGCUUAGAUAUGACAUAGAACACCAAUUGCGAAGGCAGCUUACUACAUAUAAAUUGACGCUGAGGCACGAAAGCGUGGGGAUCAAACA